AAUUAUUAUCCUAUUAUGAUAUUGGAGAUGAACCGAACACGAGUCCUUGAUGAUGCCACAGAGGCCCUGAUCAAGCAACCAUGAGCCAUCUCUAGGUCAG